UACGACCAGGGCUACACACGUGCUACAAUGGCGCAUACAAAGAGAAGCGACCUCGUGAGAGCAAGCGGACCUCAUAAAGUGCGUCGUAGUCCGGAUUGGAGUCUGCAACUCGACUCCAUGAAGUCGGAAUCGCUAGUAAUCGUGGAUCAGAAUGCCACGGUGAAUACGUUCCCGGGCCUUGUACACACCGCCCGUCACACCAUGGGAGUGGGUUGCAAAAGAAGUAGGUAGCUUAACCUUCGGGAGGGCGCUUACCACUUUGUGAUUCAUGACUGGGGUGAAGUCGUAACAAGGUAACCGUAGGGGAACCUGCGGUUGGAUCACCUCCUUA
rnacentral:rRNA from 1 species